rnacentral:rRNA from 1 species
UCCAGACUCCUACGGGAGGCAGCAGUGGGGAAUAUUGCACAAUGGGCGCAAGCCUGAUGCAGCCAUGCCGCGUGUAUGAAGAAGGCAUUCGGGUUGUAAAGUACUUUCAGCGGGGAGGAAGGCGAUAAGGUUAAUAACCUUGUUGAUUGACGUUACCCGCAGAAGAAGCACCGGCUAACUCCGUGCCAGCAGCCGCGGUAAUACGGAGGGUGCAAGCGCUAAUCGGAAUUACUGGGCGUAAAGCGCACGCAGGCGGUCUGUCAAGUCGGAUGUGAAAUCCCCGGGCUCAACCUGGGAACUGCAUUCGAAACUGGCGGGCUGGAGUGUUGGAGAGGGGGGUAGAAUUCCAGGUGUAGCGGUGAAAUGCGUAGAGAUCUGGAGGAAUACCGGUGGCGAAGGCGGCCCCCUGGACAAAGACUGACGCUCAGGUGCGAAAGCGUGGGGAGCAAACAGGAUUAGAUACCCGUGUAGCA